GACGAACGCUGGCGGCGUGCUUAACACAUGCAAGUCGAACGGAAAGGCCUGCUUUCCCUUGUGGAUUGCGGGUACUCGAGUGGCGAACGGGUGAGUAACACGUGAGUGAUCUGCCCCCAACUUGGGUAUAAGCCUGGGAAACUGGGUCUAAUUCCCGAUAGGACUGCAGGGUGGUGCCUGUGGUGGAAAACGAUUUUCUAGUGGUUGGGGAUGAGCUCGCGGCCUAUCAGCUUGUUGGUGGGGUAAUGGCCUACCAAGGCGGCGACGGGUAGCCGGCCUGGGAGGGUGGACGGCCACAUUGGGACUGGGAUACGGCCCAGACGCGUACGGGAGGCAGCAGUGGGGAAUAUUACACAAUGGGCGGAAGCCUGAUGCAGCGACGGCGCGUGGGGGAUGACGGCCUUCGGGUUGUAAACUCCUUUCGACCGCGAGGAAGCCACCUGGUUGGAAGGGUGGUGACGGUAGUGGUAGAAGAAGCACCGGCUAACUACGUG
rnacentral:rRNA from 1 species